UACGUAGGGGGCAAGCGUUGUCCGGAUUUAUUGGGCGUAAAGAGCUCGUAGGCGGUUUGUCGCGUCUGCUGUGAAAACUCGGGGCUUAACUCCGGGCCUGCAGUGGGUACGGGCAGACUAGAGUGCGGUAGGGGAGACUGGAAUUCCUGGUGUAGCGGUGAAAUGCGCAGAUAUCAGGAGGAACACCAAUGGCGAAGGCAGCUCGCUGGAACGGUACUGACGCUGAGGCGCGAAAGCGUGGGGAGCGAACAGG
rnacentral:rRNA from 1 species